rnacentral:rRNA from 1 species
AACGAACGCUGGCGGCAUGCCUAACACAUGCAAGUCGAACGAGACCUUCGGGUCUAGUGGCGCACGGGUGCGUAACGCGUGGGAACCUGCCCUUAGGUUCGGAAUAACUCCCCGAAAGGGGUGCUAAUACCGGCUAAUGUCUUCGGACCAAAGUUUUAUCGCCUUUGGAUGGGCCCGCGUUGGAUUAGCUAGUUGGUAGGGUAAAAGCCUACCAAGGCGACGAUCCAUAGCUGGUCUGAGAGGAUGAUCAGCCACACUGGGACUGAGACACGGCCCAGACUCCUACGGGAGGCAGCAGUGGGGAAUAUUGGACAAUGGGCGAAAGCCUGAUCCAGCAAUGCCGCGUGAGUGAUGAAGGCCGUAGGGUUGUAAAGCUCUUUUACCCGGGAUGAUAAUGACAGUACCGGGAGAAUAAGCUCCGGCUAACUCCGUG